rnacentral:rRNA from 1 species
UGUGGUUUAUUUGAUCAACGCGGAAAAGCUUAUCUGGUCCGGACGCAGUGAGGAUUGACAGACAGUUUCAGGAGUGGUUCUUGGUAAACAAUUGAGAGAGUUGAAGUUCUUUCAUGAUCUUGUGAGAGGUGGUGCAUGGCCGUUCUUAUUCGUGUAGUGAUAUGUCUGCCUAAUCGCGUCACGAUAACCUAUUGGUCGACAACCCAAUUAUCACAACUGCAGCAUAACUCCCCUUGGGUGGGCGAGGCUCUGUGUAGGAUAGACCUCUGAACAGUACGCAACGAACGCGAUCGUAAUCCCUUGUUGAGUGGCCAUCCUGUAAGCUGCUGGAUUAGGAACCCAGUGGUAUUAUCUCAGCCACAGAUUUUCUGGUUGUAAUGGGCCAGUUUUGAAACUCGGGGAACAUCUGUGACUUUCUUUCUUAACGCAGAGGAAGGUUAUGGCAAUAACAGGUCU